rnacentral:rRNA from 1 species
UCCCCCCGCGGCCCGCCAGGCAACCCCCGAUUCUCCAAUGAUUGACCUCGGAUCAGGUAGGGAUACCCGCUGAACUUAAG